UACGAAGGGGGCUAGCGUUGCUCGGAAUUACUGGGCGUAAAGCGCACGUAGGCGGUUUCUUAAGUCAGGGGUGAAAUCCUGGAGCUCAACUCCAGAACUGCCUUUGAUACUGAGGAUCUUGAGUCCGGGAGAGGUGAGUGGAACUCCGAGUGUAGAGGUGAAAUUCGUAGAUAUUCGGAAGAACACCAGUGGCGAAGGCGGCUCACUGGCCCGGUACUGACGCUGAGGUGCGAAAGCGUGGGGAGCAAACAGG
rnacentral:rRNA from 1 species